rnacentral:rRNA from 1 species
CGGCUAUCAUGCAAGUCGAGCGCGGGAAGCAAGCUGAUCCUCUUCGGAGGUGACGCUUGUGGAACGAGCGGCGGACGGGUGAGUAACACGUGGGCAACCUGCCUGUAAGACUGGGAUAACCCCGGGAAACCGGGGCUAAUACCGGAUAAUACUUUUCAUCACCUGAUGGGAAGUUGAAAGGUGGCUUUUAGCUACCACUUACAGAUGGGCCCGCGGCGCAUUAGCUAGUUGGUGAGGUAACGGCUCACCAAGGCAACGAUGCGUAGCCGACCUGAGAGGGUGAUCGGCCACACUGGGACUGAGACACGGCCCAGACUCCUACGGGAGGCAGCAGUAGGGAAUCUUCCGCAAUGGACGAAAGUCUGACGGAGCAACGCCGCGUGAGUGAUGAAGGUUUUCGGAUCGUAAAGCUCUGUUGUUAGGGAAGAACAAGUGCCGUUCGAAUAGGGCGGCACCUUGACGGUACCUAACCAGAAAGCCCCGGCUAACUACGUGCCAGCAGCCGCGGUAAUACGUAGGGGGCAAGCGUUGUCCGGAAUUAUUGGGCGUAAAGCGCGCGCAGGCGGUCCUUUAAGUCUGAUGUGAAAGCCCACGGCUCAACCGUGGAGGGUCAUUGGAAACUGGAGGACUUGAGUACAGAAGAGGAGAGUGGAAUUCCACGUGUAGCGGUGAAAUGCGUAGAGAUGUGGAGGAACACCAGUGGCGAAGGCGACUCUCUGGUCUGUAACUGACGCUGAGGCGCGAAAGCGUGGGGAGCGAACAGGAUUAGAUACCCUGGUAGUCCACGCCGUAAACGAUGAGUGCUAGGUGUUAGGGGGUUUCCGCCCCUUAGUGCUGAAGUUAACGCAUUAAGCACUCCGCCUGGGGAGUACGGCCGCAAGGCUGAACUCAAAAGAAUUUGACGGGGGCCCGCACAAGCGGUGGAGCAUGUGGUUUAAUUUCGACGCAACGCGAAGAACCUUACCAGGUCUUGGACAUCCUCUGCAUCGGUAGAGAUACCGAGUUCCUUCCGGACAGAGUGACAGGUGUGCAUGGUGUCGUCAGCUCGGUCGUGGAUGUUGGUAAGUCCGCACGAGCGCAACCUUGAUUAGUUGCAGCAUUAUGCACUUAGUACUGCGGUUACCAAUCCU